rnacentral:rRNA from 1 species
UACGGGGGGAGCAAGCGUUGUUCGGAUUUACUGGGCGUAAAGGGCGCGUAGGCGGCGCAACAAGUCACUUGUGAAAUCCUGAGGCUUAACCUCGGAACUGCAUUCGAUACUGCGGCGCUUUGAGGACUGGAGAGGAGACUGGAAUUCCUGGUGUAGCGGUGGAAAUGCGCAGAUAUCAGGAGGAACACCGGUGGCGAAGGCGGGAUCCUGGGCCAGUACUGACGCUGAGGAGCGAAAGCGUGGGGAGCAAACAGG